UGCGUUAGAUCUUUCGAAAUUCGUCAACAGCCGUUAGCAAUAAUGUAGAUUUCUCCUCAUCUUAUUUUUGCCAAAUUUUACGUUUAGGUGAGUUAAAAGAUUUAUUAUGAGAAACUUGAAAUCGCACGCAUGUAUUGUCUUUUGAUUUUUCCUCUUAUUAUAAAACUUAGAGGCGUUGAAAAAGAGUUGAAUAAGAGUUAAGGAGGCAGUGAGUUUAAAAUAAAGUUUAUAUAUAAGUCAUGAGAAAUUUGCCUUUUUCAAUAUUUUUUAAAUUGAAAAUUGUUUGAAAUCCAAACAGCCUUUGAUAUAUGUUUCUUAUAAAUUUAUGAAAAUGUAUAAAAUUUGUAAAAGCUUCUGCAGCAGUCACAAACAGUCAAUAUGAAGCUAAAUAACAUAUAUGUAACAAAAAUGAGUGGAAGAAAAGCAUGUUGGGUAUGGAAUUUUUUCAAAAAGUCAAUGGCUGUUUGCACCGUUGUAUGCUCGAUAUGUAGUGCUAUACUCAGAUUCAAUUGCUCGACAUCAUCAAUGAACAACCAUUUAAAGUAUGUGCACAGAAAAGAACUGGAGCUUAGACUACAGAUUUGAACAUGGAGAUAGCAUCGAGUUUAACACAACAAAAACGGAAAGCAAUUUACAAUGAUGAGAAGUACAUUCAGAAAUUAAUCAAGCUGUGUGCGCAUCCAUCAGCGUAGAUGAGUGGUCACCUCGAACACAGGAUGUCUAUAUUUCUGUGGAAGCACAAUAUGUUAAUAAUGACGAGUUAUGCAGCGUCACUCUUUGCAAUAAGCAAUUGCAUACAUAUUAUGGAUAUAAACUAUAUUUUAUUCUUAUUUCAAGGGUGUACAACAUUUUUCGAUCAAAGGAUAGAUGUCAAAGUUGUAUAUUAAAAAAAUUUGUAAUUUUUGUAGUUUAAAAACUUUUUUUUUACACAAUUUUUAAGUUUUUUUUCCUGGAAGAUUUAUUCUGCAAUUAUAUAAGCAUAGCAGUAGAAAGGUAAUUUUUUUCGAACAUUCAUCUGUGACCACUUUCAUAUAUGUAAACUUGAUCGAUAAUUGUUCAACACCAUUUAAAUAAUAGGAAAAGGUAGUUUUUAUCCAUAUUUUUGAUUUUUUAGUAACUGGAUCUUGUAAUUAAUAAUAAUGUAUUUUAUUAAGCCUCUUUUUGAACUUAUAAGGCAAAUAUUUUGAUUUUGGAGGCUAACUUCGAAACUCGCAGAAUACGCUUUUUAUACUUAUGGCUGCAUCUCCCGGAAAAAUUAAGUUUGAUCCUAUACCCAGCCGAGUGUUUGUACUAGAGCUCUUGGUAUUCGACUAAUCGACUAACCGAAUUAACCGAAUAGGGCAUUAUCCGAAUAAUAAUCGCCCCUAUUCCCGUUGUCGUUAUCGUUUUAAAACGACUUAAGAACGCCUAUUUGGCAUUCUUGUUUAUCGAUAAUAAAUUGAGAUUCCCCAAUUUGAAACGACUAUAGAAACGACAUAGAAACAGUCGUUUUUCGUCGUUGCUAUAAUUGUGAGCGACAUAGAAACGAUGCGUUGUUUGAAGGGAUAUUUGAAGUGAAAAUUAAAAUUCCAAAUCGGAAACAGUUUGAAAUUUUAAUUUCUGAAAUGGAAAAAUAUCCUGCAUAUGCCAAGGACUUUAGAAAAGGGAUAAAUCCUUUAAAUUUCGAUUUUUUGGGAGGGAUAUUUUUUCCCAAAAAAAAAAAAACUAAAUCCAAAAACUAAAACUCCAACUAAACGAGGAGUUAAUAAACAGAUACCCAUGUCGCUUUUGGCUGGACCACUAGGUAGAGUAGUCGGAUUAGCCAGAAGCAAUGAGCAUGAGACGCUGGAAGUAUAACAUAUUUUAAAAACAAGUUUGGAGGACGCAGAUGUCACCACUACUUCUUUUAAAAAAUCAAAUAAAGAUGGAAGACUAACAUUGUUGUACGUAAGUACAAUAAUUACAGUGAUAACGUUGUUUAGAGUCAAUAGAGAAUAGCAUAAAAUCCAUUAAGGACUGCUUUAAAAUGUGUCUCGUUACAUAAGGAGAAAUUUUUAUAUGGGAAAAGAGCGCCUUAAAGUAUACUAUAUAAAAUAUGUAGACAAAUUUCGAUAACUUUUCUUAGGCGUUACGAUAUACUUCAAGAAUACCAAUUUUGGAACGAAACGACGAUAAGAACGACGACGACUUAAGCGCCAAAUACACGACACGAACAUUUCCGCGAACAUUCCCGUUAUGUAAUAUUUCUGCGAACUUUUCUGUCGUGUAUGGUGGUGUUUGCCA